AGAGUUUGAUCCUGGCUCAGGAUGAACGCUAGCGGCAGGCUUAAUACAUGCAAGUCGUGGGGCAGCAGGUGUAGCAAUACAUGCUGGCGACCGGCAAACGGGUGCGGAACACGUACGCAACCUUCCUUUAAGUGGGGGAUAGCCCAGAGAAAUUUGGAUUAAUACCCCGUAAUAUUAUGAAGUGGCAUCACUUUAUAAUUAUAGCUUCGGCGCUUGAAGAUGGGCGUGCGGCUGAUUAGGUAGUUGGCGGGGUAACGGCCCACCAAGCCUUCGAUCAGUAACUGGUGUGAGAGCACGACCAGUCACACGGGCACUGAGACACGGGCCCGACUCCUACGGGAGGCAGCAGUAAGGAAUAUUGGUCAAUGGGCGCAAGCCUGAACCAGCCAUGCCGCGUGGAGGAUGAAUGCCCUCUGGGUUGUAAACUCCUUUUAUCUGGGAAGAAACCCGCGAUUUCUAUUGCGGUUGACGGUACCAGUUGAAUAAGCACCGGCUAACUCCGUGCCAGCAGCCGCGGUAAUACGGAGGGUGCAAGCGUUAUCCGGAUUCACUGGGUUUAAAGGGUGCGUAGGCGGGCAAGUAAGUCAGUGGUGAAAUCUCCGGGCUUAACCUGGAAACUGCCGUUGAUACUAUUUGUCUUGAAUGUCGUGGAGGUAGGCGGAAUAUGUCAUGUAGCGGUGAAAUGCUUAGAUAUGACAUAGAACACCAAUUGCGAAGGCAGCUUACUACACGAUGAUUGACGCUGAGGCACGAAAGCGUGGGGAUCAAACAGGAUUAGAUACCCUAGUAGUCC
rnacentral:rRNA from 1 species